UACGUAGGUGACCAGCGUUGUCCGGAUUUACUGGGCGUAAAGCGUGCGUAGACGGCUAUCUAAGUCGGGUGUGAAAGCCCCGGGCUCAACCUGGGAAUUGCAUUCGAGACUGAAUAGCUAGGGUACGGUAGAGGGAAGCGGAAUUUCCGGUGUAGCGGUGAAAUGCGUAGAUAUCGGAAGGAACAUCAGUGGCGAAAGCGGCUUCCUGGACCAGUACCGACGUCAGGCACGAAAGCCGUGGGGAGCAAAGCAGGA
rnacentral:rRNA from 1 species